ACCCCCCUUAUUCAACCCCUAGAAUACGAUAAUAAGCAUAAAAAGUUUAGAAUCCUCACCCAAACGUAGAUCGGAGGCAGUUUUCAAAGUUUUUUUUCCUUCCUCUUUCUUUCGGUUUCUGUGUUUUUGUUUUCGUUUGGUUUUAUUGAUGGAAGAUGGUGGGGUUUUAAUGGCUGUGUUUUUUUUGAGUGAUUCAAGCUUCUGAAAUGGUUUAGAAGCUUUAUGAAUGAAUGGAUUGAAGUUUUUUUAUGGGUUUUUUAAUUUCUGUGGUAAUGAAAAAAUUAGGGUUUUGUUGUUUUGCAGGUUGCGGCUGUGCUUUUUUUUUCUUCCCCUCCCUUGAUUGAUUUCUGGUUCUAUAUUUAUAGAUCAAUUGAUCAAUCUUUGUCCAAGAGAUAAAAUUAUAAACUGGACUUUUGUUUAUUUUGGCCAAAGAAGUAGAUUUGCAGAGUUAAAGGGAAAGAUGAGGAUCUACUUUUGCUUAGUAGAAUUGGUGAAAGUUAAACUUGAUUUUUGUGAAAGCAGUUAUGAAAAGAAGGAAGCUGAAAACAUGGGGAGGAGGCGUGCACUGCUGCUACAGUGUUCUGCUUUUUCCUUUUGAUUUUUUUUUUUCAUUAUAAUAAUACCAAUAAUAAUAAAUAAUAAUAAAAAGGAUUCUCUUUUAUAUGUUUUUUAUUUUUAAUAAUAACUAGAAAUAAACCCCGAUUAAAAU
rnacentral:lncRNA from 1 species